rnacentral:rRNA from 1 species
AUGUAUGAGAGAGACAUCACUUAUGGCAGUUUGCUUAAUGUGAUGGUCAGAAAUGGAUAUGAAAGUGAUGACAGUAUUUGCUACUUGAGGAAGGAUUGCACAGGGCUGCAAGGGAUUACUUUCGUCAGAAACAACACUGAAGUGGAUGAGAUGAUAAAGCAGUUUAAAAACAGUCAGACACUGUGUUUGUAUGUUAAAGAGGGGAAAUUAGAUAUAAAGCAAGCACCAGUUAACAAAAGUGCAGAAGAUGAAGAAGUGGACCCAGAUGAAACAAUUGAAGAUUUAACAUUGGACCCACCAGCUGUAUUUGCUGUUAAUGAGUCAGGUGUUGUGCACAAAACAAACACUGAUCAUGUUGGCUCAUCAUAUUUUCUUGGUACACAAGAAAGUGUGAACUAUAUGCCAAUAAAAUCAGUUCCUCCACCAUGCCAGUUACUGCUUGGGACACAAGAUCACCCAAUUGAGCCAGAGAUGGUAGAUGCAGAUGAGGAAAAUAAUGCAUUGCAGCAGGUUAACACUCAAGUUAGUGUUAAUUAUGCAGAUUUCCAGUUUGAUACAGAUGAGGAAGAGCAUGCAGGAAAUGAGGACACAUCUGAUGUAGAUGAUGACUCAGUAUUUGAUGAAGACUUUGUAGCUCAUGAAGACCUCUCAGAUGCAGAUUCAGAUUCCAUGGACUAUGAAGAAGAUAAUGUAGCUAGAGAAGAAGAACAGAGGAGGAAAGUGGACAGUGAUCUGAAAGACACAAUUGCUGACAUUAAGAGGAGAAGAGCUCAAUACAUGAGCAGUACACACUGUGAAGGAGACACGGACCCUGAAGAUUUAUAUGACAUAGACUUGGAGGAAGAGGAUGAUGACUGUCAAGAUAUAGCAGUUCCUGAGCCUGUUCAGAAGAAGAUAAAGAGGCCUGGGCCUACUAGUAGGUCCUACUCUAGUGCUAACAGAAGUAUGAAUGAGGACUGGUAUCCAUCUUCAGAAUAG